GAUGAACGCUGACAGAAUGCUUAACACAUGCAAGUCAACUGUGGCGUACGGGCGAGUAACGCGUAAAGAACUUGCCUCACGGAUAGGGACAACAUUUGGAAACGAAUGCUAAUACCUGAUACUGGGAGAGAGCUUUGCGUCCCAUUAGCUAGUUGGAGAGGUAACGGCUCACCAAGGCGAUGAUGUGUAGCCGGCCUGAGAGGGUGAUCGGCCACAAGGGGACAGGGACAGGAGCAGUACGCAGACGGGGGGAAGGAACGGAGAUGUGUGGGAACAAGGCCAAAGUGUGAACCAGGUAUUCGGUGUGCAAGAUGAAGUUUUCGGAAUGUAAAAUGAUGUCAGUUGCGAAGCGGUACCAAACGAGAAAGUCACGGCUAAAUACGUGCCAGCAGCCGCGGUAAUUC
rnacentral:rRNA from 1 species